GAGAGCCCCAGGAGGUGCUGGCGCCUGCCCCUCCCAGCCAGGCUCCUCGUGGGUGGCACACUACCUCCCAAGGGCCCUGCUCUCCGGCUGGCCCUCCCCAGCUGGCUCUGGGCCUGGCCCAGAGUAGGUGCUCGGUAAGUGCUGGCUGAGCAGCAGCAGAAGCAGCAUGGCCAGGAGAGGGAUUCCACGAGGCCGCCUGGGCCAUGGCAGCCACAGGGCACCCAUCCCUGCAGCUGAUGUUCAUUUUAAAAGCCCCAAAUGUUCAUUUGGGGCGGCUCUCCUCAACCAAGGAAGCUAACGAUUUCUACGCUUCAUUUUUCUUCACCUUAAUCCCACUGCCAAGGCCUCAGGGCCUCUGCUGCCACUGCCCUCGCACUGGCACCUGGUCCUUUCCAGAAGGUGCAGUCAGCCUGGGGAGGGUCCAGAAGGGUCAGGGAGUGCCCAGCUGAACCUCCCUGGCACCCAUGAGGUCCCUGCCAGGUCUUGGCAUUACAGGGUCUGGGGGCAUUAUGACGAGACAGAGUGACUCAGACAGCCCUCCCUGGGCCCUGCGCAGCCCUGAUGACAUCCCCGGCAGGUGUCUUGGGUCCCCCCUCACCGUGCUGCUUCCUGAGCAGAAGACAAAGCUGAGCCAGGCAAGAGCUGGCCCUUUCCAGCCACCAGACACAAGGUUGUGUCCUCAGUUUCCUGAUUUGUGAAAAGCACAGGGAUGGAUCGACAGACAACCAAUCAACUCAAGAGGCUGUCCUGAAAUGAUGCACAUGGAACCACUUAGCCCAGCCUGGCAACCAUCAAGCUCAAGGCUUGUGACUGUGAUGACCAGGGAGACUGGAGAGGGAGCGGUAAAGAGGUGGGCCCUGGAGAACUUACAUCCCAGCUCCACUGUGCCGGCUGUGUGGCCUUGGCUCCAGGAUGAAAUGCAAACAGCUCAGCUGGGCCCGCCAAGCCCCACGGGACCGCAGCUGCAGCCUCACAUCAUGGCUGGAUGGGACCCCUGGCCCAGGGCAGCUCCUUGUCCCCUGGUCUGGAAGCUCUGCAAUUGCCUGACCUGCAGGCCUUGAACAGCAGUGGGUGGCAGGAGGAAGGGGAACCAGCUGAGCUCCUCUCAGGGCCCAGGACUGUACUGGAGGCCAUGGAGGGGGCCCACCAGGAGAGAGAGGUAAGGGACCCUCAGAGACGCCAGGGGGCCUGACAAGGAGCUGUAGUGUGCUCAGGGGGCUGUACUGUCCGAGCUGCCUCAGCCCUGCCACCCCACCCUCCACGCUGUUUCCCGUCUGCCAAGCCAUGAUCUCCAGGGUGGUAAGAGUGAUAGUGAGUGAGGACACCAAAGGGCCUGCGGACAUUUGUUCCUCCUUGCUCCAUGGUUCUCCCUGGGGCCUGGGGUGGGAUGUGGUCACCCUCUGUGCGCCUGGCCCCAGCCAAGCUCUCCUCCCCCCACCUCACUCUGCUCCAGUCCCAUGAGCCCCCUAGAGCCUGCCAACCUGGCUCCUGCCUCAGGGCCUUUACAUGCUGCUCUUUCCACCCGGAAGCUUGUGCCUCCUUCGCAACCCUGAUGUCACUUCCUCAGAUAGGCCCUUGCGGAUCCUCCAGUGUCAGGAGCUCCCAGCUCCCCUGUUUU